GGCAGAUUGAAGCACAAAUGGGACCCCCGGUGUGAUAAGAGCAGUCCUCAUACACAGUAUGGGUACAAACGCUCCCCAGUGACAGCCAGCCCAGCUGAGCCCAUCCCUGCAGCGUGCAGAUCCAACGGUCUGCUCAGAGAGCUACAGCAGAACACUGCUGACCAGAACAGUGCAUCACCCGCACCAGGAGCAGCUCGUGUAAACAGAACCUCUCCAGGGGGCUUCGUGCUGAAGUGGAAUCAAAAUACAUGCCAGAUGACCAUAACAAAGCGCUGAGACAUAGGCAAGGCAGUUCCAAAUACGGUGCAGUGCUGAUGGGAGCGGCCACGGUCAGUCCAAUGAUCUCCCGGGUUAAUGAACAGCCAGAUCCCAUCGCUCCACUCAGCCAUUGCCUUUAUCAGCACCUCAAUAUGUCCUAUAGCCACCACCACAACGUGGUCUCCUGGCAAUCUUUGAUGGAGAGGCUGAGGGAGAACAGGCUAUUGUCAAUAUGAAACUGAAUUGUUGCAGCUUUGACUCCACAUGGGGCAUAGAAGAGUGUGUUCAGAGAGCUGCCAAAAGCUUCUCAUCUACGUAAGCACUCAGCGCCAGCACUAAUCUGAUGCAAGAUACUGAAGAACUCGCUUCAAGUUAUAAACUUCCUUGGGUAACACGCACUGUGUAGUGGGUAGGAGAUGCUUCCCCACAGCAGAAGCUGUUUCUCGGGGCCAGGCAGCUGCAGUCUUUCAUGAACUCUGAAUUGCAAAGC
rnacentral:lncRNA from 1 species